rnacentral:rRNA from 1 species
UCGGGAAUUUUGGGCAAUGGGCGAAAGCCUGACCCAGCAACGCCGCGUGAAGGAUGAAGUAUUUCGGUAUGUAAACUUCGAAAGAAUAGGAAGAAUAAAUGACGGUACUAUUUAUAAGGUCCGGCUAACUACGUGCCAGCAGCCGCGGUAAUACGUAGGUGGCAAGCGUUGUCCGGAUUUAUUGGGUUUAAAGGGUGCGUAGGUGGCCCUGUAAGUCAGUGGUGAAAUAUCUCAGCUUAACUGAGAGGGUGCCAUUGAUACUGCAGGGCUUGAGUACAGAUGAGGUAGGCGGAAUUGACGGUGUAGCGGUGAAAUGCAUAGAUAUCGUCAAGAACACCGAUAGCGAAGGCAGCUUACCAAGCUGUAACUGACACUGAGGCACGAAAGUGUGGGGAUCAAACAGGAUUAGAUACCCAUGUAGUCCCUGAGCGGGCUGGCAAGGCGCAU